ACUGUUAGGUGUGGACUGAACACUGCAGCUUCAGUUUCAUGUUUUGGAUGCUACCAGACUCAUUCUACAUGGCAACCAUCAUAACCUUCAAGGAGACCAGACAGAAGCAGUGUCACAGAGUGCAGAGAAACCAGAAGAGAGCUAGUCAAAGGAAGACACAAGACCUGAGGAUCUGCACUCUUAUUUUGCAUUUGUCCCUGGUGAAUAAACCCAGUAGAUAUGGCUACAAACAGGAGCUCCAGGGGAAGGCAGACAGAUUCUGCUGCCCAGCUCAAGGCAAAGAGUGAUCUGUGCAACCACUGACAUCCGGCGCUUUGUCUGCAGGAAGGAGGAAACUGUGCCGCUUUUCGUUGCUGCUGCUCUUUCAUUUUGAGAAAAAAGGGUUUGGACCUUUUCAUAAACAUUGUGUUUAAAGACCUGGUACUUUUGAUGAAGCCUUGAUUUUGACUGUACAAGUUUUACAUCAGUUUUUAAGCUUCCAAGGGCUAUUUAUGAUGAAUCCCAGUCAAGGGCUUAUGUUAAGGAAUUCUGGUGCUUGAUUUUUCUAAAGACUGCUCAGAUUAGGUAAAAUAUUUAAAUAAAAUUUCACAGAUGUUGCUUUCCAAAAAUGAAAACUGGUCCUCUAUUUGUAGAAGCAUCAAUUAUAACUAAUUUUGUAUAUUACCCACUGUGUAAAAACAUUUGCUUCUUUUGCUUCAAAGUAUUUCUCUUCCACAGAGCAAAUUUCCCCCACAAUGCUGCUACAGGUAAUGUUCAUAUCUUUUUGUUUAAUCACUGCUUUAAGCAUGGCAACUGCAUUGGACAGAACCCAAAUGUUCUUUGAAACUGAUUAAAGUUUAAUUGUAGAGGGAAGAAUAGAAUUAAUAAAUGCCCAGCUGUGUUUCUUGAUCUCUUUUCUGGUUUGUAGUUACUAGAAGAUAAAAAGAGGCAAUCACUCUUUAACCAUGUAAUUAAUUUAAAUAUUGGAAUAACUUAGCAUUCAUGAAUACAAGUCCGUUUUAUCUCUUCAUUUUGUAUCUUUGUUUAUCUUACCAUAGA